rnacentral:rRNA from 1 species
UCUGAUCCAGCCAUGCCGCGUGCAGGAAGACGGCCUUAUGGGUUGUAAACUGCUUUUAUACGGGAGCAAUAAGGGUUACGAGUAAUCCGAUGAGAGUACUGUAUGAAUAAGGAUCGGCUAACUCCGUGCCAGCAACCGCGGUAAUACGGAGGAUCCGAGCGUUAUCCGGAAUUAUUGGGUUUAAAGGGUGCGUAGGCGGCCAUUUAAGUCAGCGGUGAAAUUUUGCAGCUUAACUGUAACAGUGCCGUUGAUACUGUUUGGCUAGGAUUUGGUUGUAGUGUGCGGAAUGUGUGGUGUAGCGGUGAAAUGCUUAGAUAUCACACAGAACACCGAUUGCGAAGGCAGCACACUAAGUCAUUAUUGACGCUGAGGCACGAAAGUGUGGGGAUCAAACAGGAUUAGAUACCCUGGUAGUCCACACUGUAAACGAUGAUAACUCGCUGUCGGCGAUACACAGUCGGUGGCCAAGCGAAAGCAUUAAGUUAUCCACCUGGGGAGUACGACCGCAAGGUUGAAACUCAAAGGAAUUGACGGGGGCCCGCACAAGCGGAGGAACAUGUGGUUUAAUUCGAUGAUACGCGAGGAACCUUACCCGGGCUCGAACGGUGCAUGAAUAUACGAGAGAUUGUAUAGUCCUUCGGGACAUGUAUCGAGGUGCUGCAUGGUUGUCGUCAGCUCGUGCCGUGAGGUGUCGGCUUAAGUGCCAUAACGAGCGCAACCCUUGUCAUUAGUUGCCAUCAGGUCAAGCUGGGGACUUUAAUGAGACUGCCACCGUAAGGUGUGAGGAAGGGGGGGAUGACGUCAAAUCAGCACGGCCCUUAUGUCCGGGGCGACACACGUGUUACAAUGGGAGGUACAGAGGGCAGCUAUCCGGUGACGGAAUGCUAAUCUCCAAAACCUUUCUCAGUUCGGAUUGGAGUCUGCAACUCGACUCCAUGAAGGUGGAUUCGCUAGUAAUCGCGCAUCAGCCAUGGCGCGGUGAGUACGUUCCCGGGCCUUGUACACACCGCCCGUCAAG